CUGGUCUUGACAUCCACGGAAGUUUUCAGAGAUGAGAAUGUGCCUUCGGGAACCGUGAGACAGGUGCUGCAUGGCUGUCGUCAGCUCGUGUUGUGAAAUGUUGGGUUAAGUCCCGCAACGAGCGCAACCCUUAUCCUUUGUUGCCAGCGGUCCGGCCGGGAACUCAAAGGAGACUGCCAGUGAUAAACUGGAGGAAGGUGGGGAUGACGUCAAGUCAUCAUGGCCCUUACGACCAGGGCUACACACGUGCUACAAUGGCGCAUACAAAGAGAAGCGACCUCGCGAGAGCAAGCGGACCUCAUAAAGUGCGUCGUAGUCCGGAUCGGAGUCUGCAACUCGACUCCGUGAAGUCGGAAUCGCUAGUAAUCGUGGAUCAGAAUGCCACGGUGAAUACGUUCCC
rnacentral:rRNA from 1 species